AUUGAACGCUGGCGGCAGGCCUAACACAUGCAAGUCGAGCGGUAACAGAGAUUAGUUUGCUAAUCUGCUGACGAGCGGCGGACGGGUGUAUCAUGCAUAGGAAGUUGCUCAGUAGAGGGGGAUACCAGUUGGAAACGACUGUUAAUACCGCAUAACCACUUUGGAGCAAAGCAGGGGACCUUCGGGCCUUGCGCUACUGGAUACGCCUAUGUGGGAUUAGCUAGUUGGUGAGGUAAUGGCUCACCAAGGCGACGAUCCCUAGCUGGUCUGAGAGGAUGAUCGGCCACACUGGGACUGAGACACGGCCCAGACUCCUACGGGAGGCAGCAGUGGGGAAUAUUGCACAAUGGGCGAAAGCCUGAUGCAGCCAUGCCGCGUGUAUGAAGAAGGCCUUCGGGUUGUAAAGUACUGUCAGUUGUGAGGAAGGUAGUGGAGCUAAUAGCUGCAUAAUUUGACGUUAGCAACAGAAAAAGCACCGGCUAACUCCGUG
rnacentral:rRNA from 1 species